UAUAGCUAAUAUAUCCGGUGUGGUCUAGUGGUUAGGAUUUCUGGUUCUCACCCAGGCGGCCGGGGUUCGAUUCCCCGCACCGGAAU
rnacentral:tRNA from 1 species